AUUGAACGCUGGCGGAAUGCUUUACACAUGCAAGUCGAACGGCAGCACGGACUUCGGUCUGGUGGCGAGUGGCGAACGGGUGAGUAAUGUAUCGGAACGUGCCCAGUCGUGGGGGAUAACGUAGUGAAAAUUACGCUAAUACCGCAUACGAUCUAUGGAUGAAAGCGGGGGAUCGCAAGACCUCGCGCGAUUGGAGCGGCCGAUAUCAGAUUAGGUAGUUGGGGGGGGAAAGGCCCACCAAGCCAACGAUCUGUAGCUGGUCUGAGAGGACGACCAGCCACACUGGAGCUGAGACACGGUCCAGACUCCUACGGGAGGCAGCAGUGGGGAAUUUUGGACAAUGGGCGAAAGCCUGAUCCAGCCAUUCCGCGUGCAGGAUGAAGGCCCUCGGGUUGUAAACUGCCUUUGUACAGAACGAAAAGGUUUCUACUAAUACUAGGAGCUCAUGACGGUACUGUAAGAAUAAGCACCGGCUAACUACGUGCCAGCCGCCGCCGUAA
rnacentral:rRNA from 1 species